AUACUUAGCUGGAUGGGGUCAAUAGGUGAUCAUGAAGACAUAUGGCCUAGUCUAGGAGAAUUACCUUUAUUUCCUUAGGAGGGUUGCUAUCCUAAGGUCUAUUAAAGCGGUGGAACCAACCUUAUAAUUUGUUGUAGUGGGGGCUGCAUCCAUGUUGUCCCCUC